GACGAACGCUGGCGGCGUGCUUAACACAUGCAAGUCGAACGGAAAGGCCCUGCUUUUGUGGGGUGCUCGAGUGGCGAACGGGUGAGUAACACGUGAGUAACCUGCCCUUGACUUUGGGAUAACUUCAGGAAACUGGGGCUAAUACCGGAUAGGAGCUCCUGCUGCACGGUGGGGGUUGGAAAGUUUCGGCGGUUGGGGAUGGACUAGCGGCUUAUCAGCUUGUUUGUGGGGUAGUGGCUUACCAAGGCUUUGACGGGUAGCCGGCCUGAGAGGGUGAACGGGCACAAUGGUACUGCGGUACGGCGCAGACUGCUACGGGAGGCAGUAGUGGGGAAUAUUGCACAAUGGGCGGAAGCCUGAUACGACAACGCCGCGUGCGGGAUGACGGCCUUCGGGGUAUAAACCGCUUUCGCCUGUGACAAAGCGUGAGUGACGGUAAUGGGUAAAGAAGCACCGGCUAACUACGUG
rnacentral:rRNA from 1 species